AGAGUUUGAUCCUGGCGUCAGGAUGAACGCUGGCGGCGUGCUUAACACAUGCAAAGUCGAACGAAGCAACAUUGAAGGAAUUCUUCGGAAGGAAAGUGAUGUGACUGAGUGGCGGACGGGUGAGUAACGCGUGGGUAACCUGCCUUACACAGGGGGAUAACAGUUAGAAAUGACUGCUAAUACCGCAUAAGACCACAGGGUCGCAUGAUCUUGUGGAAAAAACUGAGGUGGUGUAAGAUGGGCCCGCGUCUGAUUAGCUAGUUGGUGAGGUAAGAGCUCACCAAGGCGACGAUCAGUAGCCGACCUGAGAGGGUGAACGGCCACAUUGGGACUGAGACACGGCCCAAACUCCUACGGGAGGCAGCAGUGGGGAAUAUUGCACAAUGGGGGAAACCCUGAUGCAGCGACGCCGCGUGAGUGAAGAAGUAUUUCGGUAUGUAAAGCUCCAUCAGCAGGGAAGAAAGUGACGGUACCCGACUAAGAAGCCCCGGCUAACUACGUG
rnacentral:rRNA from 1 species